CCUACGGGUGGCUGCAGUGAGGAAUAUUGGUCAAUGGACGCAAGUCUGAACCAGCCACGCCGCGUGCAGGAAGACGGCUCUAUGAGUUGUAAACUGCUUUUGCACGAGGGUAAAUCCCGAUACGUGAAUCGGGUUGAAAGUAUCGUACGAUUAAGGAACGGCCAACUCCGGGCCAGCAGCCGCGGUAAUACGGAGGGUUCAAGCGUUAUCCGGAUUUAUUGGGAUUAAAGGGUGCGUAGGCGGUACGAUAAGUUAGAGGUGAAAUCCCGGGGCUCAACUCCGGCACUGCCUCUGAUACUGUCGGGCUAGAGUUUAGUUGCGGUAAGCGGAAGGUAUGGUGUAGCGGUGAAAUGCGUAGAGAUCAGACAGAACACCAAUUGCGAAGGCAGCUUACCAAACUACGACUGACGUUGAGGCACGAAAGCGUGGGGAGCAAACAGGAUUAGAUACCCGGGUAGUC
rnacentral:rRNA from 1 species